AUGCAGUGGUUGGGCGACUCGGUGGAUAAGGAAGUGAAGUUGGAUUUGUGUCUUAUCCCGGUGGGGGGAGAGGUGGAGACAUUGACUCCGGCGACGGCGAGUGGGCGGUCCGGCGAUCUCGGAGGGGUUCCGCCGACCAUGGAAUUCUUGCUGCAGCCAAUAAACAGAACUCUGCUUGAGGAGGUCAAUGAAAAUAACGGGACAAUGGAGCCCGUGCGGUUCCCGGUGGCCGCGCCGGCGGAGAUACCUGCUCCAGCCCCGGCCAGUUCAAGUGCGGACGGCCAGAUCUAUCGGCCGGAAGCGGCAGGCGGGGACAAGGCUCAGGGGUCCGAGCACUCGAUAGAGCAGUUGGACCCGAAGACACUAGGAUGGACGCAAAGGGGAAGCCAAUCGUUGAGAAUACUCGUUCGUGCUAGUGUGAAUGCCCAGCCCUCAUCAGACUACUGA
rnacentral:rRNA from 1 species